ACAGUACUGACUGUGUUGUCCUAUUGUAGGUCUAUGGCGGUGUCAAGGCUGGUGAAUGGGGAGGAUGUCACUGUGGGAGUGGUCAGCUGUCUAGCGAUCUACCCUUGCUACCUGCUGGUUUUCACGCUCUUCAGGAUGAGCUGCAACAAGUGGCAGCUGUAAGUGGCAAUCAUGUCAGCAGCGUUCUCAUUGCUGAAACAAAGACGGUUCUGCUGAGUUGUUCGAGGAAGGAAAGAGAGGAAGGCUCCGCACCACUCUUUCACUUGACCAGCUCGUGGCUGAGUGACCCGCUGACUUCAAAAUGGCCAGAGUUGCUCCCCUCCACCAGCAACCAACACUUGACCACUCUGACG